AUUUAUUUUUUUUUUGAGUAAUAAUCUCAUCCGCUUGUUUUCGGUUCUAAAAGUUGCUUAAGAAGCCGUCUAUUCCAUAAUCAACAGCGAUAACCGCACCAAAAUACCCAUAUCGUCCUCGUUUCCUCUCUCAUCUUUUUCACAUUUUCACAUUAGAAAAGCAUAUGUUUGGCAUUGGAAUUACAAAACUUCUCCAUCUCCUUGCUUUCCAUUCAAUUUAUUGUUGAUUCCUUCCUUUCCAUGCAAAACGCCGACCUUGCCGCUUGCCGCAUGCCACUACACUGCGCAGUACUGCACUGACGUACAAGGGACAAUCCGGAAUCCGGAAUACAGAAUACCAGCGCGCCACGCGUUACAAGGAUAUUGUCCAAUGCACUCUAGGUUUUUUGAUCCAGCACACAGAGAAAGAGAGAGUUAAUGGUAAUAUAUAUCGCAAUGCUGGAAACAGUUCCGUAUUAGGCGCAAGCAUACCCGAUGCUUGAAUAAAAUCCUAGCAACUGAUCUUCCAGUGAAACAUGAUCGACGACCUAUAAGUUGCUCGUUAAUUUCAUCAAUUCUCAUGCAAUUCCCUUUCCACAUUUCCAUCCUUACUCCUAAUACUAAGACCCCAUCAACGUUUACUAUGUUUACGCCUCUUAACGAAAGGUAACGAAUUGCGCCUUUCUCUCUGUCUAUUGUCAGAGAUCAAAUUCCCUAGGCAAUCGAGCCCCUAAUGCGAUUUUUCUAGAUGGACAUUAUGACCAGAUAUGGUACUUGAUAAUUAGGUUGUUUAUCCCCUGAGGGCCUAAGGGAUCAGUUCAAAUGAGACGUGAUGAUUGGUUCGAUUAAUACAUCUCUAUCUGGCUCUGCGCGCUUAAUUACAUCAUUUUCAAUUAGUCGGGACAUCGCAAUAAUGUCUGGAGAGAGCGAUACGGCAUGGCUGUGCCUCUUCAAAUUUCCUAUAAAUGGCAAGGGAAGCUCUCCUUGGAUCCUCAUAGACAUAUCGCUAUCCAUCAAUUUCUUUU